rnacentral:lncRNA from 10 species
AGAUGGAGACACCCAGGAGAAAGAAGAGGGCGAAUUGGAAGAGGCCACCCAGAAAGGACGGUGUGUGACACUAGGGAGCCAAGCAUGGAGAGCCGAGGACUAACGCUUGGAAGGAAAUGUGGACCAGAAGGUUCCGGAUGAGGGAAGGACUGGCGGCUACACUCUGCCUUCCGAGACAACGAGGAAUAAUCUCACUUCAGUCAGUUCAACCCUUGUAAAACAGCUACUGUGUGCAAGACACGGAGGGAAAGCUGAAGUAGAGAAACCACAGACGCUGUCUUCAAAGGGUUUAAUCUAAUAUUAGUGAUGAGAAAAAUAGGGUGCAGAGCUUAAGGCAUCCUGGAAAAACGUAUGUAGCGCCACAUCGCGAAAAUCUCUCUUCUGGGACCCCUCUCCCAAAAACGUUUCUUCGCCCUCUUCUCCCCCUUCUGCCUCCACUCUUUCUGGACUUCAGGUACAAAUAGUUGAAAUAAUUAUACUCCUUGGUUCAUGAAAUGUGUAAGACUCCUCUCUGGUUUUAUUUUCCCCCUUUAUCCCCAUCCCUACUCCCAACCCCUAUCCUCAACCCCAUAGGCAUUCAUGCUGCUGUGCUUCCAUAUGUAUUUUUGGGAAAUGUACAAAAUUUUUAUCAGUGUAUUUUUUAAAAAUGUUUAAAUAAUGCUACUGGACUUUGGAGAUUAUCUUAUUUUCUACUUUUUUCACUCAACAUUCUUUUUAAGGAUCUGUCCUCGUUGCGAUUGGCAAGCAUAUAGUUCAUUGCUUCUGAGUACUGCACAGCGUUUCAUAAGGGGCAUCUACCACACUUCACUUCCAUUCCCCAGGUGUUAGGUAACAAGGCCGCCUCUAAUUCUCCAAUACAUCAAGUAAUACAGCCAUGAUCGUCUUUGUCCGUGGUCCCUUAAGGACCUCUGUGCAAAUUCCUCUGAAAUAUAUGCCAAGGAGUAAGAUUGUUAAAGUUAUAGGGAUGCACAGGGACAUUUGCUUAUGCAGCUGCGUCCUGCACAAACACAUCCAGCCAUGGGGCAAUGGAGGCUGAAAAACUGUCUCUACUCUCUUUCCCGUGCCAUGUGCCCUACUGGAGAAAGGUGUGCACUUUUUAUUCUCACAAAAUCUCUGUACGCCAGCCAAGUCAUGAACCUAGAAGGCUGUAACUAUCUAGAGGGUGUGAUAUUUUCAAACUCAUCUGGCCAGAUGAACAGUUUUCCAAGAGCACAACGAUGCCCAGUAGCCUAGUACAAGCCCUGGGUACUUACCAAGCACUUUAAGAUUGUGUACCAGAGUUACUGCCCUACGCUGCACUCCAGUGUGGGGUUUCCAUCCAACACUUCCAUCCAUCCCUUCCAGAAGGUGAUAGGUCUUUUUUAUUAAACACUCAUAAAGUGUUUAGUAAAUACCAGAUACUAUUCUAAGUGCUUUGCAAAUAUUGACUCAUCUAAUUAGCUAAUUUUCUAAUUUCUGUCAAUAUGAUGAAAGUAGUGUAAGCUCAUUUUUUGCUUUCAUUUUCACUUCUCUAACUACUAGUGAAUUUUUUGACCAUUUCUUUAUACAUUCAUAGGCUACUUGAGAUUCCCUUCUGUGAACUGCCUUUUCAGUGUCUGUGUCUAUUUUUCUAUUGAUCUUUUUUCUUUUUCUUUUGAUUUACAGAUAUCUUUGAGAAGCCUGGACAUCAAUCUGCUUUAGAAGACUAGAAACUCUGCCUUUAUGUCUUUAAGGGAACAAUAGUCCUUAACUUUGAUACUGUGGCUCUUUAGCUCUUUUUUUCCCUAUAUUUUUUAUAUAGUUUUUUGGUAUUAUUUAGACCUCCUUAACCCCACGGUCAUAAAGGUAUUCUCCCAUCAUUUUUUUCUAUCCAUUAGCUUCAUAGUUUUACUUUUUUACAUUCAGUUAUCUAAUCCAUCUGGAGUUCUCCUUCCCAUAUGGUGUGAGAUAGGGAUCUAACUAUAUUUUUCUCCAUGGGGUGAGCAAAUUUUCCAACAACCCAUGUCAAACAAUCCAUUCUUUCCAAAUUGGUUUGGGGAAGUUUCCAAAUAGACAUGAGUAUGUUCUGAGCUCUCUGGUUUGUUCAUGUGUCAGUACCACAAGGUUUUGUCACUGUGGGUUUUUAGUUAGUCAUCAUGCUUGAAGGGCAAGUUCCCCAUUCCAAAUUCUUCUGUGUUAAGAUUGCUUUGUCUAUCCACGGGCCUUUAUCCUCCCUUAUAAUGUUUAGAGUAAGUUUGUCAAGUUUAUGAGAACUGUGUUGGGUUGAUGAAUAAAUGCAAGGAAAACUGGCAACUGUGCAGUGACAUCUCAUUCAUGACCUGACACUGUAUAUCUGGUGGACAAAAAGAGGGAAAUGUGGCUGAGUCAUAAUGUGCAUGGAGGUUGCUGGAGAGGUGGCAGAUGAACUGGAGAGGCAGGCUGAACCACACUGUAAGCCAAGCUAAUAGAAAUGAGCUUGAAAUGGGACAGGCAACCCAGCUCAGGCUGCUUUGUGUGUUCACAGGAAACCUGAUUACACAUUGGGACCAUCGGUUUGUAGGAUUGCCAUGAUCCAGAGAAACUCCAUAACAUUUCUGAAAGUAUAUAACAAAAAUAAAGACCUAGAGGGCCCUGGUCACCCAUACGUUGCACUGAUGUCAAGUGCAGGGCUGUGUGUCUUCCCAUGUCCAAGGGAUCUCCUAAAAGAGCUUUCAUAAGUAGGUGCCCUGCAUAGGUGACAGCAGUUCAAUCCAGUAAACAAUUUUUUAAGGAACGUACUGCAUGGUAGGCACAAGGCUGCCCACAGGAAGCACCAAGGUGACUAUGGCAGAGUCACUGCCCUUUGCAUUCACAAUCUGUAUUAGGGGAAAGACAGAAGGGAACAUCUACAGUUAAUUCUAAUGCAAUAAGAUGGUAUCAUUUAGUAUAUGCCAUUUUAACAGAAAGCACAAUGGGAGCUCAGAGAAUCUAGAUACUGGUAUCUGAGACCUUACUUAUAGGAGGACAAAAAGACCCAAAUAUGACUGAGCAAUCAAAGAACCACAAGGAGGUAGAAAGGCGCGUGACAUGUUCAGCUCAUAGGAAAGAGAUGCAGGGGGCAUCAACACAGAUGGAUGAAUGGAUGAAAGGAUGGGUGGUCGGACAUAUCAAUUUAUGCUGAUGAAACAAAAUGUUUGAUUUCCAAUUUUCUGGAUUACAGAAGACUAGUCACCACCCUGCUCCCCUGUGUUGUUGUAAUAACAAGAAUCACUAGGUGGCAUUAUAGUAUCAAAGUCCUCACCUUUCAGAGCCUCUAGGAGAAACACACCCAACAAGAUCGCGUCAGCCCCUAAUUUAGACAAAUGAGUGCUUCUAUUCAUCUCAUUUCUCAUUAUAUCCACUUAAUUUAUUUCUUGAGCACCUACUAUAU